rnacentral:lncRNA from 1 species
UAAAUCCACAUCACUAUGCCACGAAACCAUUUGCCAAAUUGAAAGCCGCUUUUAGCCGAAACCAUUCAAAUACCAUAAGCAAUCAUCCAUCCACAUUGCUCUAGUCUAACUGAACUACCAAGGCAUCUAUCUAUAUAGCGAUAAAGAAAUAAGAUAGAGGAUAAGGGACUAUAGCAAAAGUAGCAAAGUAGUGAAUCACUAGUUCAAACUAGCUAAAUUGAGAUCUCAUGCAGCAUCCUGCUCAAUCUCCCCACCAGUACAACCUGUGAAAACCGUGGGGGUGAGAAACCAAUCUGAGGUUUCUCAGUGAAUACGAAAGAGCCACAAAGGCAAGUCACACUUAUCAAAAUCAAAAGAUAAGCCAGAUAUAUAGAGAUUUGCAUUUAGUUGAAAAAUAGAAACCUACAGUAGCAUGAUAUGAACAUAUAUAAAAGUAGAAUAUAAACCAGAAUGUUGUUAUUGUACUAGAAAUGCCAUCCAACCAACACGCCUCAAAGACAUCAAGUCUAAACCAAGAUCCAACCUAUAACCCGCCAUACAUGAUCGAAUAGAAAUAAUACCUACAGUAGCUAAAUAUGAAUCUGAAUAGAAUGGGUAACCAAAUACCACUACUGUAAAAGAGAAUCCAUCUAACCAAUAUAGCUCAAUGAUAAAAAUCCAAGCUAGAAGCAAUCCAAUGUAACGACCCGGUCUACCAGUAAUAACAACUUGUUAGGCCCAAACCAUCAGUAUUAGAGUCGGUUCACAAGCAGGAAGUGUGAGAUGAGUCUUGGCUGAGUCAGGGUCAGAAUGACAGACUAAGCCAAGGUCGAUGAAUGAUAGCUAAGUCAGGGUUAGAAUGACAAGGCUAGUGAGACAAGUCUCACAUCGCUUGGUGAUCUUGGGCUGUGUGUGUGUUUAGGGUUGACAAGAACAUUAAGGCCUAAACCGGGAGGGUAUGUAACACCCCAAUAAUCCCACAUUGUGUAGAUAUGACUAGAUGUGGGGUUAUAUCAGCUUGAUUAGCCUAGACAUUAUAACAGGGCUUAAGUAUUUUGGGCCGGUGGUUUGGGCCCAACGAGUUAUUAUUACUAGCGGCUCGGGUCGUUACAUUUGGUAUCAGAGCCGGUUCACUAGUCGGAAGUGUGAGAUGAGUCUUGGCUAAGCAAAGGUCGGAAUGACAAGGCUGGCAAGAUAAGUCUCACAUUGCCUGGUGAUUUUAGGCUGUGUGUGUGAUUAGACUGACGAAGAUGUUAGGGCCUUAACGAGGGGAGUCUGUCACACCUCAAUAAUCCCACAUUAGAUAGAAAUGGGAAUGUGAUUGGGUAUAUAAGUGACUUAGACACUAGUAAUAAUAACUGGCCUUAAGCAUGUUGGGCAUGUGGUUUGAGCCCAAUGAGUUAUUGUUGCUGGUGGGCUGGGUUAUUACAUCCAUAACCUGCCAUAUUGGUCCGUUGACCUUAAGCACUAGCCACCACCAUAAUGCACCGACCAGAUCCAUGCUUCACAAUGGACAACCUAUAUGGAUAAGUACACCGUUCAUUAAUGGCCGAAUCGAUUCGGUGUCCAUGAAUACCCCCAAGUGUAGUGGCAAAGUCCUGUGACACGAUCAAAUAACCUCUUGAGAGGAAGCCAACUGCUGUGGCAUAAAGCCAAAAUACUGUGGAGUGUAAACACCAGAAUUGGAGACCAAAAAGGUUGAACCGUACGAAUCCGUAUGACCCUGUCACCUAAACCAAAAGUCCCCUGAUGCUCAUAGAGCAUGAUAGUCUGCUCUACAUGCCAUGUACCAAACCACUAUUAUGCACGAUAGUAAUAAAUGCCAAAAGUAAAGUAUGGAAGAAGUGCCAAUAUGUUAGAGUAAUGAUAACUACAUAAGUGAGAGGAAUAGAAAUUAAGUAAAUAUAAUCUCACGAACUACUAGCUCAAAGCACGCACCUCACCGUAGCACUGAUCUGGGUUGUCAACCCCCUGCCGGUGCCUUAAGCUAUCACUCGAACCUAUAUAAAGUCUAAUAAUCUAUAUUUAGCUUGAAACUCACUAAAUAUAAGUACGGCGACUACAUCAUGAAUCCAAAAUAAAAAUAUGAUCAGAAUUAUGGAUCCCAAUUAUUGAUCACCAAAAACUCAUCUGAUCGUCAUGCUAAUUCGCUGGAACACCACCCCAGCCUACGGGGUGUCCCAAAACAAACCAAAUACCUAGCAAAUCUUAAUUGCUAUCCCAAAACAUCAAUUUUACACUAUUAUGAUAGCCGCAUGCAAAGUAGGCCAAAUCGGGGAAUCAGAACCCCGAAAAUCAUCGGUAUGACGUCGAAAAUGCCUAUUUCGGCUAUGGAACCAUAGGCAGCCCUCUUGCUAUGACCAGAGGUGUCAAAUCUCCCAUGUGACCAGCCUAUAAAGCGCAAUCAAUGCUGCAAAUAGCAGCAACCCACACAUCACAAAUUCAAGAUUGAUAUUGCACGAUUUUCAUGAUUUGGGGUCCGAUUCAACCCUGAAGUUAAAGAAAUAUUUUAUAUUCAUCCAACAAUCCUCAUUGUCCCAAGAAACUCAUUUUUGAGUGUCUAGACAACCACAUGCCAAGUGGUGCGAGACCGGUGCGAAAACUCCAAAAUAACUUGUGCAGGUUUUCUAGAAUUUACCGUUUAAGCUCUGAAAACCAUCUAUGUCGCUUGCUAGUCGAUGCUUCCACCAGCGAGUCUCCAACUAGCCAACAAGACACUGCAGCAAGCAACAGACCCCACUCUAUGAAAACAGAACCAAGAUCACCAACGCUAAUCACCUUUAUUACUGUUUUAUGUGCUGGUUGACAUGAAUUCCGAAUUGAGGGAUUUCUUGGCCCGAACAUCAUGUUUGAAUAUCCUACACCUGAACCAUACUAUCCGGGACGGGCAUGAUGCAAAAAAGUUUUCCUCGGCAUUUUGCCGAACACUUAGUGUGUAAUAAUUAAGUCGUUAAAGAAGUUAGGGUUCAUUAUUGUUGAUUGCACACUUUGGAAUCUCACCCAAGAUGUAUUCUGGAAGGUUUCGAUAUCCCAAACGCUAUGUUCACUGCCCGGAGUGCGACCGACAGCUAGGAAUCUUGUUAGAGCCAUCUUGUCCAUUAAGCCAAAAAGGUCCCCUGGGGCGACGUCGUUAAUACAACGAAGGGCCCCUGGCAGCAACAAGGGUGAGCACGACACUGUAGAGACAUUUCAGAUGACCAUGCUCUCCUACAGCAAAGUCGCUAGUGCCCAUAUCUACCAGAACAGUGACUUUGGCCUCUAAGAACCCCUAGUCGGAGCUCGAAUCUAGAGCAAUAGAGAAGCAAAAUAUCCCCAUUGCUUCUAUGCAGUCUGGGGAUGCGACGUCGGAAAGCAAGUGCGGCCAAAGCUCUCACAACAUGGGCUCUAUCUUGGAAAUUCUUUUCACAAAAUGGGGUCAGGGGUGGCGGUGGCGGUGGCAGCGAUAGGGCAUCGCCGGAGCCCACCCGAGGUGGGUGAUGCAUGGCAGUGGCCACAGGCAUGACACUAUGAGAGUUGGAUACCCAAGAGAGAGAGAGAGAGAGAGAGAGAGAGAGAGGCUUGGGCUGGACACACUGCUAGUCGAGGAAGCCGCCAAUGGUGGGUGGUGCGCCGGCGGGGUUCCCAGUAGGCGGUGGCCAAGGGAAA